rnacentral:rRNA from 1 species
ACACUCCUACGGGAGGCAGCAGUGGGGAAUUUUGGACAAUGGGCGAAAGCCUGAUCCAGCCAUGCCGCGUGCAGGAUGUAGGCCUUCGGGUUGUAAACUGCUUUUGUACGGAACGAAACGGCCUUUUCUAAUAAAGAGGGCUAAUGACGGUACCGUAAGAAUAAGCACCGGCUAACUACGUGCCAGCAGCCGCGGUAAUACGUAGGGUGCAAGCGUUAAUCGGAAUUACUGGGCGUAAAGCGUGCGCAGGCGGUUAUGUAAGACAGUUGUGAAAUCCCCGGGCUCAACCUGGGAACUGCAUCUGUGACUGCAUAGCUAGAGUACGGUAGAGGGGGAUGGAAUUCCGCGUGUAGCAGUGAAAUGCGUAGAUAUGCGGAGGAACACCGAUGGCGAAGGCAAUCCCCUGGACCUGUACUGACGCUCAUGCACGAAAGCGUGGGGAGCAAACAGGAUUAGAAACCCUGGUAGUCCCAU